GAUGAACGCUAGCGGCAGGCCUAAUACAUGCAAGUCAAGGGGAUCGCAAGAUCACCGGCGGACGGGUGCGUAACGCGUACACAACGUACCCUUGAGCGGGGGAUAGCAUUGGGAAACUGGUGGUAAAACCCCAUGGUGUUGGAAUGUGGCAUCACAAACCAACUAAAGGAUACACUCAAGGAUCGGUGUGCGUCUGAUUAGCUAGUUGGCGGGGUAACGGCCCACCAAGGCGACGAUCAGUAGGGGGUGUGAGAGCAUGGGCCCCCCCACAUGGGUACUGAGACACGGACCCAACUCCUACGGGAGGCAGCAGUAAGGAAUAUUGGACAAUGGACGGAAGUCUGAUCCAGCCAUGCCGCGUGCAGGAUGAAGGCGCUCAGCGUUGUAAACUGCUUUUGGAUGGGAAUAAUAACCUCGACGUGUCGGGGCUUGAAGGUACCAUCAGAAUAAGCACCGGCUAACUCCGUGCCAGCAGCCG
rnacentral:rRNA from 1 species